GACGAACGCUGGCGGCGUGCUUAACACAUGCAAGUCGAACGGAAAGGCCCUGCUUUUGUGGGGUGCUCGAGUGGCGAACGGGUGAGUAACACGUGAGUAACCUGCCCUUGACUUUGGGAUAACUUCAGGAAACUGGGGCUAAUACCGGAUAGGAGCUCCUGCUGCAUGGUGGGGGUUGGAAAGUUUCGGCGGUUGGGGAUGGACUCGCGGCUUAUCAGCUUGUUGGUGGGGUAGUGGCUUACCAAGGCUUUGACGGGUAGCCGGCAUGAGAGGGUGACCGGCCACAAUGGGACUGAGGUACGGCCCAGACUCCUACGGGAGGCAGCAGUGGGGAAUAUUGCACAAUGGGCGGAAGCCUGAUGCAGCAACGCCGCGUGCGGGAUGACGGCCUUCGGGUUGUAAACCGCUUUCGCCUGUGACGAAGCGUGAGUGACGGUAAUGGGUAAAGAAGCACCGGCUAACUACGUG
rnacentral:rRNA from 1 species